CCUGCAUCAGGAUUUAACCUCCUCCCCACCCCGUUGGUCCUUAAUUCGGCUACUUCGGCGGGGGCGCUCCUUAAAGGGCUGAGCGCUUGUCUUCCAGGGGCGCCUUUCCUGACUUUCCCGGUGCAAAGGCGGCCGAAGCGCGCCUUCCGUCCCCGGAGCCACCCGACAGGAGGAGACAGAACUUACAAUCUACUUUUUCAUGAGGACCUGGUAUUGUGAAAGUUGACUAUGGUCUCAAGUAGAUCCUGUGACUGGGACGAUGUGGCAGUGAUGAGUCAGUCUGUUCUGAAGCUGCACUGGGGACAUGAUGUGACAUCGAUCUUUGCCUACCUAUCUCCCAACCACCAGCAUUUUUGCCAACAAUUUCCUCCAAGAAAGAAAGUGGAAGAUUUUUCAAGAUGCAUUUUCAUCAUGGACCAGAGACUAGGAUAAAGAAAGCAGUCUGCAUGAACAAUCAAGACCCCUAUGAAACAGGAGGUCACAGAGAGCAAGAUGGCGGCAAUGGUCAACCAGAUGACCGGCGUCCAUGAGCCUGAUGUCAGAUGGUUCCCACUGGAUGCAAUCUCCCAUCAUGGAAAAUGGCAUUCCGUAGAAAUGGUCAAAUCCGUGGCUGAUGGGAUGGUGGCAGUGAUCAUCGGAAGAGUCACAGUUGAGGCCCAGAUGCCAUUUUCCUGAAAGGCAAAGAGGAUUCCCAUGUCACCACCGGUUGAUCAUUGAGCCACAGUUAGACGUGAAAGAGGACAAACCUGAUCUGAGAGGGUAUCUGCCCGUUAGGAAAGCAGCCCUGCUUGGGGUACACACUGAUGCAGCUGCCACGUGCUGGCAGCCAAUGUCGCCAAUGCCAAAAUCAUCUGCCAUCAGAAGAAGGAUGUUUGGACGCCCACCAGAUAAAUCCCUGCAAGCUGAGGGCCUCACACCUAGAAGCAUGCCGACCGUCACAGCCAGCCAGCUCCUGAAAGACAAGUGGGUCUUUUGAGGUUCCAGCCCAGAGCAGAGACACUUGGUGGUGGCACAUCAGGAGAAAGAAUUGCCAUGGAGCUUGGGGGCUUUCCCACCAUCAUCACUAUCAUAACCCCAUAACCAUGGUAACCAUGGAGCCCCUCCUCUCUCUUUAUAUGGAAGCCACCUUGGGCUCAUGCAUACACAGCAGAACAAGAGUGCUGUCGUCCCCAGUGCCAUGGACUAAAGGUGAGAUCUGAGUCGCCAAAGAUCUGCAAUAUGGACUCCCUGGAAAACCAGACAACUGGGUUUGGGAAUAGGGAAGCAGACUUCCUUCAGAAGAUCCAGAUGGGGGGUGUGGAUCAUUGAUAGGAAUCCCAGUCCCACGAUCACUGCCCCAGAUGCAUCAUCAGUGACUAGAUGAACAAGACCACUUUGUCCAUGCACCCUGACAAGGGACAAAAAGAAAUGUAGAAGCAGAAACAGAAGAUUAAGCAUCGCAUGUAAUCCUGUCUUACCAAGAGUGGUCCCGAGGUAACAUGUUCUCUCCUGACUUUUAUUGCCUGGAAGAAAUAAAGGAGGUCUAUCAUAACAAAGGCAGCAGACAUGCACUAAUUCCAUCCAUAAAAUACUAAGUAUUUAGCAAAAGGGAGACUUUGAUUCUCUCGGAUGAUAUCAACAAAACCUUAAAACAAUGACCAAAACUCAUAAAAAGAAUGGCCUUCCCCCAUUAAAAAGGCUUUUAAGAUGCUGAACACCAUGUUAAGAAUGUAGAAUGUAUGACUUCCGAGGGCCGGAUGAUAUGGAUUUGGGUGUUUUUUGUUUGUGUUUGUGUUGUUUUUGCCCAGGUGAUCUCACUGUCCCACUGAAACUCUCGUCCCCAGUAAUAUGAAAUCCCCAUCCCACUCCCAACUCCUGGCUCAGACAUUAGGGGAAAGCCAACUUUGGAUUCUUGGAUCAUGACCUUGAUCAGCUCAGCCCUUGCAGUGACCUUGAAGACCUACUCACGAGUUUGUUUGAAGUGAUGUUGGCUUCCACGGUGGGGGGAUACCUCUGACCGGGGAGGCCUCCGCCCUCCCAUGAGCACCACCUUACCCAUGUAAGCUGUUCCCGAGAGAGCCAGUGGGCUCUGUGUCCUUCAAGUGCAGCCUGAACUUUCUGCCUCCUUCAUAUUCUGUGGACCUCAGUCUUUGGCCACAGGUGGUACGGGCAUCUUUCCAAACUUCCUAGCCAUCUCAGGUGACUUCUCACACUUUUGCACACAGUAUUUGCUUCACCUCAAGGAAAAGGCAAUGAGCCUCUGGUCAACCAUAUGGCUGUUAUGUGCAGCAGGGAUAGGGCAAAGCUUGUGCAGAGAUAGACCUCAUGGGAUAGGUUCCUUAGUGGGCUGUAUGUAAACAGCACAUCCAGCAUAGGGAAGUUUCCACGUGUGAUAAAACUGGAUGGGUUCCACCACUGGACCAUGUCUAGCACCAAGCCAUGGCUGUUUAUUUGCUUCACUU